rnacentral:rRNA from 1 species
CAGUAGCCGCGGUAAAACGAACCGUGCGAGCGUUAUUCGGAAUCACUGGGCUUAAAGCGCGUGUAGGCGGGAGGGCACGUCCGUCGCUGAAAUCCCCCGGCUCAACCGGGGAACGGGCGCGGAUACGACUCUUCUGGAGGAACGUAGGGGGACCUGGAACUUCCGGUGGAGCGGUGAAAUGCGUUGAGAUCGGAAGGAACGCCCGUGGCGAAAGCGAGGUCCUGGACGUUUACUGACGCUGAGACGCGAAAGCCAGGGGAGCGAACGGGAUUAGAUACCCCAGUAGUCCCUGUCUCUUAUA